AACAACUUAAGUAUGUUCCUUCGUCUUCCUCAACGCCUGAAGGGACUUCUAAGUCUAAUUUAAAUAUGGAGCAGAUAAAGAGUUACAUCAAAACAUAUGUAAGUUAAUUUUCUUAUUCACAAAUUUUAAUUUUAAAAAAACAUUAUUUAUUUCUAAUAUCUUAUUGUUUAUCUGUACGUUAUAAGGUGAAUGAACAAAUUAUUGAGCUGAAAACACUAAUCUCCAAUAUACCUGCUGAGGUCGUUAAAGCAUUGAAGAAAUAAGAGAAUAAAGAAUUCCCCGUAUAAAAUAAUUUUUUCUUCAAAUUUUUAAUACUUUGAAUAAAUACUCAUACAUUAGUAUUCAUGAAAUAUAGGAGGAGAAAAUUGUUCAUCAACAAGAAGGUGCAGAAGAAGGAUAAAAAAUAAAUGACAAUGUUUAUAAGAAUGAUUUGCCGGUAAUGUUAAUAUAAAUUAAAUUGGCAUGUUACGAUAAAUCUGUAUAUCUCCAACAUCUUAACCUAUUUUUGUUUGGUUAUUAUACAGCAUGAAGAUGAGUACACAAGAUCAGUCAUUCACAUAACAAAUGAUGAACCAUCAGUACUUGAACCUUUGAAAACAGAGAUCCAAGAUUGUGUCCACAUUCAUACUGAAUGUCCAACAAUAGCUGAAGUUCAAUUCGAUCAGAAGGUAUAUAUGUGAUAUGUAUAAAUAUGAUUAUAUAAUGUAGAUAUGAAAGUAUAAAAAAAAUUUCAUUCGUCAUUAUAUAAAUUUGAUUAAAUGUACAGACAUCUACUUGUCAAUUUUUUUGUAGGAUGAGCAUAUGAAUGAUCAAGAAGAGGAACAUGAAGAAGAAUCGAAAAACACGCAC
rnacentral:lncRNA from 1 species